UCACGCAGCGUAACGAGCACACGCUUUCGUUGUUGUAUAGUUUUGCCGUGUAAAAAGUGCAUUUUUGGACGCUAUGGCUAAAUAAAUCUUCGUGCCUUUGCACGACUUAAAUCUUCACAAAGAUGGCAAUUUUUUCAACUUAUGAAGACCAGUUGCAGUAUCAAUUAUUGAUUGUAAAACAUGAAUAUCGAAUCAGACAGUUUAAGCAUGUUCACCACAUUCUUUGGCCAAGAUGAAUUUCCUUUUUCAUUUGAUGAAGCAGUGAAAAGUCAUAUUGGUGAUGAAGAAAAUGUACUUGUUGAAAAGCUCCUUGAGUGUGAUGAGAUCAACAUUGACUCAGACAUCUACCAUCGUAAACCAUGUAACUGUAAAUAUGAUUGUAUUGGGGGAGAAACUGUUUUCUUUUGAGAACCUCUUUCCAAGAAAACAUGUUUGCUUGGCAGGUAGUCAGAAACAAAUUUGUUAGAGGCCUUUAGCUCUUAUUUUGCUCUAAGGUUUAGCAAGUUUUAAAGAAAUAUCUUGAAAACUAUUUAUUAUUUGUGAGUUUAAUUAUUUAAAUAAAGAUUUUUGUAUUAAAGUAAAAUCUUUUCGAUAAACUUUGCACAAGCUGGCAACUUUACAAGUUUAA